GGAACUGAAGAGCUUUUCAGAUUUCGCUCUUAAGUGUUUUACUCAGUUGAAUUGUAUUAAAUGCGUCAUUCGCUCUCUCAAAAAGUCACAUAAAAAAAAAAAUAAUAAUAAUUGACCGCGUAGUUUUUGAGUUAUGGCCAUAGCAACACCAUAGCAACGAGGGACGCGCCGUCCUGCCGACCCCUACCUCGUGACGUAACUUCCAGGAAGCCUCGCCACCACUCUGAACACGGAAAUAUAGCACCACGCUAUCCUCGCCAUAUAUUGCAAACAUUUUCUGGGUUUUACUCGCGGGAUUCGUCAUGCCAUCUCGAUGUGUAGCGAUAUGAAUUACUCACAGGAAGACUCGAGACUCUAGGAGUGGUCCAAAAAAAAACUUCUGCAAAGCCACGACAGCUUUGAAAACCUACAACAAUGCAACCUUGGUUUUCCAAAGACGAAGCCAAACAUAAAAAAUUAAGUGGCGGAAACCCUCAACACGAUGAAAAAAGCGUUGCAAGUCAGUUGCCACCCAGUUUCCCAAAAUCAAGAGAGAGUGGGUCGAGUCAUAUGAUGACCGAAGUGAUGCGGUGUCCAGCGAUGACGACUGAA